ensembl:lncRNA
UUCCUUACUGUGUAUAGAGCCAAGUUAUCGUCCGUUACUCAGUGUGUAUAGAGCCAAGUUAUCGCUCCUUACUGUGUAUAGAGCCAAGUUAUCGUUACUCAGUGUGUAUAGAGCCAAGUUAUCGUCCGUUACUCAGUGUGUAUAAAGCCAAGUUAUCGCUCCUUACUGUGUAUAGAGCCAAGUUAUCGUUACUCAGUGUGUAUAGAGCCAAGUUAUGGUUACUCAUUGUGUAUAGAGCCAAGUUAUCGUUACUCAGUGUGUAUAGAGCCAAGUUAUCGUUACUCAGUGUGUAUAGAGCCAAGUUAUGGUUACUCAAUGUGUAUAGAGCCAAGUUAUCUUUACUCAGUGUGUAUAGAGCCAAGUUAUCGUUCCUUACUGUGUAUAGAGCCAAGUUAUCGUUACUCAUCGUGUUUUAUAUGAUUAGUGAUAGUAUUCUUCUAGUAUUUCUCUCUGCAUUGUUCGGAUGGGCCUGUAAACAUUUCACUGUUAGUCUACACCUGUUGUCUAAGAAGCAUGUGACAAAUAACAUUAGAUUUGAUCUAAAAUAGCACCCUAUUCCCCCUCUAUAGUCCACUACUUUAGACCAGAGCCUCAUGGCACCCUAUUCCCUAUAUAGUCCACUACUUUAGACCAGAGCCUCAUGGCACCCUAUUCCCUCUAUAGUCCACUACUUUAGACCAGAGCCUCAUGGCACCCUAUUCCCUCUAUAGUCCACUACUUUCAGGUCCCUUAGGAUGCCAUUUCAGACGCAAACUGUCUGUCCCCUCCACCACACACAGAGAAGAGCUAACGGGCUGAAGGGGAGCAGGUACAGUGAACCGUUGGGAUGUUUAUCUCAGUGUUACAGAUGAGAGAGAAGAGCUAACGGGCUGAAGAAGUGAAACCUUCUCUGGGCUGAAAUGAGCAGCACGUGUUCUCAGGGUGCAGAACCAGGUUACGCUGAUAACGCUCAGACCCACCCACCCAACACACAGAGACACGCCAGGUCAUGAGAAUCCAG